rnacentral:lncRNA from 1 species
GACCCUCUCUCCCGAAUAGCCUCCCCGAAACUCCUCGAGAGAGGCUCCUCGAUCUCUCUUGUGAAUCUUUCAUAUUCAUUGAGAGAGAUUCAAUUUGGUCCUCAUUCUCUCAUCUCUCUUUCUCUUAUCGUCUCUCUCUCAUAGUUCUAAAACCCCAACAUUCUCCAGAAAUAUCAUGAAUCACAUUGAAAUCUCAAACCACCCAAACACCCAAAACGCUUUCUACCCUUAAGACCUUCGCUGCUUCUUCCUCCUCCCCUGCACUUGUCUGCCUCUCUCUUCAUCAAAAAACCCUAAAAAGGAAGACGAUGCCUUUUCCGUUUCAGAAUUUUCUCCAAGUUGUGCCAUGUGGAUUUCAUCAUCACCGUUGCUAUCAACUUGGACGAGCAGCUGAUGGGUUCGUCAACACCAUGGGUUACUGAACCAAGGAGGUCAUCGGUCGCAAUUGGUUAGCUUCUUUAUUGGGUUUUUCAUUUUACAGUUUGAAUUGGGAAUUUUUUGACCAUGGUGAUGAAUUGGUUAGCUUGCUACAAUUCCCGUCAGUCAACUUCAUGGCCUAAAAUAUGCAACUUCUCAUAUUCAUUUCAUCUUGACUUCUUCAUGAAACUUGUUUGAAAUAUUGUCAUCUUUUCUGUACUCGAAAAUCAUGAAAAUCCAACGGUUGGAUCAUUUACAAAAAAGAUUCUCCUCACAGUGGGUUGUGUUUCCACAAUGAAAGUGAGUUCAAUCUCCUCUAUCUUGAGCCAAAAUCCAACAAUGUGAUCGACUAUUGAAUUGACUGGAAGCCAUAUCAUCUUCUAUGCAUAGCCUUUUUCUUUACAUUGGAAGUUAGUAUGUAAAAUACUUUUAUAGACCUGAUUUUUGUGAGGAUUAGGGAGAAUGAUUCUGAUAUCACUCCUUCAAAUGCCAAUUCAGAUAUGAGGCCUUUACCUAAAUUGGAUGCAAACACCAUAGAAAUCUUCAAGGGUCUGUAGGCUCAUAUUUGAAAUUGAAAGUAUCUUCUCAGAGAAAGCACAUAAACUCCACUGAAGGCGUAUGUUAAGAGCUUCUUGCUUCCACACUCUUCUUUUUCUUGUCUCAAGAUUUUGAAUGGAGAGGAAACUGUUCGUCAAGCUCCAAUAUCCAAAUCCCAGAACCACCAUUCAGAUUCGUUCUACUCAUCACCACAAACAAAUGGGAAUAUUCCUACUUUCCUAGCAUAGCUGCACAAGAUGAAAUUGGAUUGCUCAUGUUGCAGCAUUACUUGUGGGUGAGGAUCGAACACGAUCUUGUAUAGCUUAUGAAAUUGGAAGGCUUUAUUCAAUGGAAUGUUUAAAUGCUUAUAAAGAUGUAUAUGGUGAAUCGAUUUGGAGUUUGAUGUAUCAAAGUUACUU